UUAGGCAGUUGGGUGAGGUAACGGCUCACCAAACCUUCGAUGGAUAGGGGUUCUGAGAGGAAGGUCCCCCACAUUGGAACUGAGACACGGUCCAAACUCCUACGGGAGGCAGCAGUGAGGAAUAUUGGUCAAUGGGCGCAGGCCUGAACCAGCCAAGUAGCGUGAAGGAUGACUGCCCUAUGGGUUGUAAACUUCUUUUAUAUGGGAAUAAAGUUUUCCACGUGUGGAAUUUUGUAUGUACCAUAUGAAUAAGGAUCGGCUAACUCCGUGCCAGCAGCCGCGGUAAUACGGAGGAUCCGAGCGUUAUCCGGAUUUAUUGGGUUUAAAGGGAGCGUAGGUGGACAGUUAAGUCAGUUGUGAAAGUUUGCGGCUCAACCGUAAAAUUGCAGUUGAUACUGGCUGUCUUGAGUACAGUAGAGGUGGGCGGAAUUCGUGGUGUAGCGGUGAAAUGCUUAGAUAUCACGAAGAACUCCGAUUGCGAAGGCAGCUCACUGGACUGCAACUGACACUGAUGCUCGAAAGUGUGGGUAUCAAACAGGAUUAGAUACCCUGGUAGUCCACACAGUAAACGAUGAAUACUCGCUGUUUGCGAUAUACAGUAAGCGGCCAAGCGAAAGCAUUAAGUAUUCCACCUGGGGAGUACGCCGGCAACGGUGAAACUCAAAGGAAUUGACGGGGGCCCGCACAAGCGGAGGAACAUGUGGUUUAAUUCGAUGAUACGCGAGGAACCUUACCCGGGCUUAAAUUGCAUUUGAAUAAUCUGGAAACAGGUUAGCCGCAAGGCAAAUGUGAAGGUGCUGCAUGGUUGUCGUCAGCUCGUGCCGUGAGGUGUCGGCUUAAGUGCCAUAACGAGCGCAACCCUUAUCUUUAGUUACUAACAGGUCAUGCUGAGGACUCUAGAGAGACUGCCGUCGUAAGAUGUGAGGAAGGUGGGGAUGACGUCAAAUCAGCACGGCCCUUACGUCCGGGGCUACACACGUGUUACAAUGGGGGGUACAGAAGGCAGCUACCUGGUGACAGGAUGCUAAUCCCAAAAGCCUCUCUCAGUUCGGAUCGAAGUCUGCAACCCGACUUCGUGAAGCUGGAUUCGCUAGUAAUCGCGCAUCAGCCAUGGCGCGGUGAAUACGUUCCCGGGCCUUGUACACACCGCCCGUCAAGCCAUGAAAGCCGGGGGUACCUGAAGUACGUAACCGCAAGGAGCGUCCUAGGGUAAAACUGGUAAUUGGGGCUAAGUCGUAACAAGGUAGCCGUACCGGAAGGUGCGGCUG
rnacentral:rRNA from 1 species